rnacentral:rRNA from 1 species
UACGUAGGGUGCAAGCGUUAAUCGGAAUUACUGGGCGUAAAGCGUGCGCAGGCGGUUAUGUAAGACAGAUGUGAAAUCCCCGGGCUCAACCUGGGGAACUGCAUCUGUGACUGCAUAGCUAGAGUACGGUAGAGGGGGAUGGAAUUCCGCGUGUAGCAGUGAAAUGCGUAGAUAUGCGGAGGAACACCGAUGGCGAAGGCAAUCCCCCUGGACCUGUACUGACGCUCAUGCACGAAAGCGUGGGGAGCAAACAGG